CUGCUGAUGUCUCACUGCCACAGAAGCCAGAAAGCAGGAGAUUCUGGGUUGAAAAUCAGAGGCCACAUCUCAGGACUUAGAGGAAAGUGAUGAGUGGAGAACAAGAUGCUCAUCUCAGCACGGCUUGAGAUAAUGGUCACUCUUCCAGGAAACCUGGUCAUCUUCCCUUGUGACGGUGGUGAGUGAUGGCUGCCUGGUGUGUCUAAGUUGUGUUCACAUGGCUCCUGAGAGCUGACUGAUUUUAAUGCCUGACUCCAUUCAACAAAAUCCAAUAAAGCUUUAUUUGACCACCUACUGUGAGCCAAUCGAUAGAAAAUGAGCUUGGAUUAUAAAAAAUAAUAACACACAAAGUGGUAGUCACCUUCUCCAGUCGUUCUACCUGUAAGUUGUAUGCAAAAGAAGAAGAGGAUAGACAAAUUGAGACAGACCCAUAUAUACAAACCAGCUGCCACAGGAGCAUGAACAAGAUUCUGUUGAUCCUGAGACUAGCAUAGAAAACUUCACCCAGCAGCAGUCAAGGGAUGCUGCAUACAAAGGGUCUGCUAUGGAAACCUGCUGAUCUGUCUCAAUCCCGCUCCCAUUCUUCUCACAGAAAUUAUUCUUUCCUCUUUGUUCAUAAAUUAUGAGACACGUAAAAGUUCUGUAAAAUAAGUAGAACUUUGAUAAUGCUGUAUUACUCUCUUUUCUGCUACCAUAAGAAAAUUCCAGAGUGUGGAUAACUUGCAACAACAACAAAAAAAUCUUUCUUCUGCUCACAGUUUUAGGAACUGGAAUUCCACAUGGCAAGGAGCCAGCUGUUUAGAGGAGCUCUGUCAGUCACAUCACUUAACAGAUUGGCAUCACUUCAGCAGAACUCUGUGAGAGGGAAAGAUCACACGGCCAAACUAGAAGUACAACUUAAGACAUGACCCAUGUCCUAACCCAUGAGCAUGACCUUAAUCAUUUUUACAAGUAGUAACCCAAAUAAGAGCUAAUAGCCUAUGCUCCACCUUAGGUUCCUUUCAUGAACACAUCAGACAUUUUCAACACAGGAACCUUUAGAAGACAUGUAAGCCAUUUCCAUACCAUAUCCCAUACCUUUAAGAGGCAUUUAUAAUUGCUCUAAAUCUUUGCUUUCUAUUUUCCUCUUCACUAUUUUCUUGCAUUUUGACUAUCCUUGUGGUACUCACAAUUUCCCAAAUAACCUUACUGUCCUUACAUAGUAUCUAUACAGAAUACCUUCCUUCCAGUUUUUAUAUCUGCCCAAAUUCUAUGCUUCUUCCAGUUAACUAAAACACCUCUGAGAAGAUAUAAUUUCUUACUGAAUAUAGCGUUAUUAGUUAUUAAUUAGUUAUUAGUUUUUGCUUACUUGAUUUACAUGUCUAUUACUCAAGGCCCACAAGUAAUGAAUAUUUACAUAUUUUCCUUUGUUUACAUAUUUCUAUUGCUGAGUGAAGAGUCUAUAAUACCUACAUAUUUACAUGUUGGCUAAGACAGUGUGCAUGGCCAGUAACUGGCUAACACUGAAAUGGACCCACCCAUUCUCACAGGUAGUAUGAAUACACACACACACAUACACACACACACACACAAAUCAAAGCUCAGACUUCAUUUUUCUCUUUAUUAGGGGAGUUAUGAGCAGAUUUCUGACUCCUUGGACUCUUCUGAAGCUAUGAAUGGAAAUUAUAAUUCCAUAGCAACUUUUCAUCACUAUUAUAGAAAAAAAUCUAUGCAAAAUUGCUUGAAAAAUUGUAAUCCAAUAUAAAUGAACAUUCUUUUAAAAGAUGAUGUCUAUAGCAGGAAAGAAAACUUAGUGAACCCACAAAUGAAGCUGCAUUAAUUUUACGAAGCAUUAUCCCCUUUUAGUUAUUCAGUAGCUACAUGGAAAUGUUGCCUGAGCCAGGCUAAUGUGAGAGCAGUUCAGCAUCUUCUUAUGGACAGUGCUGCUUGGAAAAGGAUCAUGUGGCUGGGUUAUCAAAAAUUAGAAAGGGCAUGGAAAUAGAAGAAUGACCUGGGUCUAAGUUUUUCAUCCAUUCUUUCCACAUAUAUCAAAUAGAAAUACUGAAUCCCAUUCAUUGUAUAAGAGAUGGGUAGUGCAAAUGACUGUGAUGUUGGCCAAUACUUUUAUGUUUUUUAAUCAGUGUGUUAUGAUACACACUGAGUAUAUGUGCAUACUGAACACUAAACACCCACACAAAUAUGUGCUUCAAUAUGGAUUUUGUUGUUGUUGUUAUUGUAGAGAGGUAUGAAGCUUUACCUGAAGGCAUGCCCUUUCCUCUUCUGGAGAAGUCUGACCACUUAAGCAUGUUCAUUCAAGAAGUGCAAAAUUACUUAACGAGUUUCCUCUGGUGACACAACAGCAUGAGGAAUAAGAAGGAAGUUAAGAACAUGUCCUCUGGCAUCAGUGUCUGGAGUUGAAGACUAGUUCUGAUUCUCAUCCACUGGGACCUGGGAUAAGUGCUCACCAUUUUUGCCUCUUACUUUCUUCAAACCCCAAGUAGUGAUAGCAUCAGUCAAUAUCUCAUAAUUUUAAGCAAACACACAGACAUGUAUACUGUAUACCUCAGAACAAUAGCUGAUUUAAAUAUGAACUCCUGUAUAAUUGGCUUGGCUUCUUUUCCAGAAUGAAGUCUUCCCGGUGUUAAGGCUCUCCUCAAACCCAAAGCCCCAGCUCUGGUUUGCCCACUAAAAUAUGUGAAAAAUUUAAAAUAAUGCUAGACACACAAUGAUCACUCAGAAACUUUCGCUCAGUAAAUGGGCAUAUUAUUUUCAAGUCCCCAAGGCUGUGCUGUUUUAGCUGUAAUUUGGAAAAAAUAGCAAGUGUCAUAGAGAGUUCACUACUUUAUCACAAUGGCCAGAGUGGCUGCUGCUGCCUGAAUCCCUUUAGAGAACUCUCAGAGGCCAGAUGAGAAGCUUUGAAACCUUUGUUCUGAUAUUUUUAGUAGAAAUGAUGGCCCAGGAGAGAAAGUGUUAAUAAAAAUGUCCUGAAGGUACAGAUGGUGCUUAUGAGGAACCAGCCUAUUUUUCAAUUUGCAAAAAUGAUUAGCUAGGAUCCCACUGAGUUCACUGCACGGGCCACUGCUAGUCUUAAUUUGUGCCAAUAGGAUAGAGAGAUGGACUUUAAUGAGGACCUGUGUUUUCUAAUCAUGAGCAGUGUUACAGGAAAUGGCAGAGGGUGUGGGGAGGGUGAAAGAUAAUUGGAGGAUUCAGAAGAUGAGGCUGUUUCUCCAGAUGGAGAUCUGCUUUGCUACCUUUCAGUAUGAGUCCUGCCUCAGUGCUUCCUAUUUGGCCAGGGAAGAGAAGGAAGGGGAAUGUCAUAAUUAACCAGCGAAGCAGGUUGUGUGAGGCUCUCAGGCACAACUCCAGAGUCAGACAGCAUGAGUUUGUUUCUACUGAAUUUUGUUUUCUCAUUUAAAAACUGGAAAACAAUCACAUUUCUGUCAUAGGAGUUUAGGAAGCAUGAUGAUGCAAUGAGAGACUGUAACAAUGUCUUUCAUAUGCUGUUUUGGUAUAAGUUUGUAAUAACCUUUGAUUUUACACAUUUGCCCAUCUAGAAAAAACAGUCCAGCAAUCUUUAACCCUUGGAAAAAAAAAACUUGACUCAACACAGAAAAUUCUGUUCCUUGAAUGCAUUAUACCAUGGAGGAGAAGUGGGGUAUGUGUGCUGUGAUAAAUCCUCCUGAGUGGCUGUGAUAUUAUCUUCUACCCUUGGCUUCUGUUGAGAAUCAUUUCAUGCUUAUAAUAGAGAAAUCCGGGCUCAGCACAUGCCUGGUGCAAUAGUAAUAUGUGGACUCAAGUCACAAAGUACAAUUUCCUGGAGAAGUGAUUUUGGGUUAAGAAAAGCCCUGUUUCCAUUUUCCUUAAUGUUUCUCUGCAUAGAUUUUUGUGGUGAUCACAAUGGCACACACUGGACUAGGUAUCCACGUGCUGGACCAGGUAUCCACAUGUUCUUUCUUGACAAUUUUUAGAAGCAUUUGUAUUCUGAGGGCAUUGCUGAUCAUUUGAACAAGGGAUUCCAGAGACAAGCAGAUAUAUAUUGUGCUUCCACCAGAAUUCAGUUGCAAGGCUGUGGUUGCUUUAAUUUGGCUCAUGGCCAAAUGUGAAGACCAUUUUGAGGAAUGAGCAAGAUGACUCAGAUAUCCUGCCUAAAGUCUUCUGGAAGAAGUGCCUAACAUUGCCUGUUUUGAGCCAAGAUCACACUACGUAGUUCAGGCUUCAGUUAUUGUUAUACCUGCAUUGGUCCUAAGAAUAUCGGGGUUACUGGCUUGAACCAACAUGUCCUGAAGAUUAUCUUAUGUUAAAGAACAGGAGUCCAUACAUUUCCUGAAAUUUUAUUAAACAUGUUUUAUCGAGAUGUAUUUUAUUUUAUCUGGGUGAGAGACAAUAGAGUCACAUUAGUUUGAAAAUUAGGCAUAAGAACUACCUCUUUCUUCUGGAGAGAUGGCUUUAGUGGUUGAGAGUCUGUGUACUGCUCUUGAGGAGGAUCUGAGUUUAGUUCUUAGCAUAUGAAUCAGGUGGCUCCCUAUCACCUGUAACUCUAGCUCCAGGUAAUCAGAUGCACUUUUGGACCUCUGUAGGCAUCUCCACUCAUAUGCAUACAACAACACACAGACACACACAGACACACACACACACACACACACACACACACACACACACACACACACACACACACCUAAAUAUAAAGAGAAAUAAAUCUUAAAAAAGAACUACCUCCCUAAGGAAUAAUAGAAAUCUUUUCCUAUCACUUUACUUCUAUCAACUGUAGAAAUAAUAUAAAGAAGCCAUACUUUCUCCCCAGAAGGAGACCCUGUUUCAGUUUGGAAGAUGGACAUACCAAACAAACUAUCACAAUAUAACUCAAGUCAAUAUGAUAGAGAGCCUGGUCCUGGAAGGGGAAAGGCAGUUGGAGAGAGAGGAAAAGGAUUAUUGGAGAGAGAAGGCUAAGGGCUUUCUACAUAGGAAUCUGAGGAUAUUUCUGGUUCUCUGUUUCUGAUAGAAUCAUGGGAGAAGCAACAGUGUCUCCACACCUAGCUACCAGGUCACUCUAAGUUUCCUUCUAUGCCACUCACCCCAGGGAAAAGCUGCCUCAGCCUCCCUGCAGCUUUUGUUCUUCAGAAUUCUGGAUCUUCCUUGGAGGCCAGUUCAGUGCAUUUGUUCCAGAGACAGGCAUGAAAAGGAAAUAUAAAACAACCCACAGAAACACAUCCAGGAAACAUAUUGUUGUGCAAGCUAAUUAGCUUAUGCAAAAGCAGUACUCUAAUCAAGAUUUCUAUAUACUGUGCAUGGCCUAAUUAUAGCAACAAUAAUACUCUGGAUUUACAAAGAGCCUUUCAAUAUGCAUCUAUGCAAUUAUUUCAAUUAUCCACCAAAUAUCCUCAGGAUACAGAAAGAGGUAGACGAAGAA